CUCCUUCUUUCUUAUUGAAAAUUUGUAAGAGGUUGAGCUGCUUGUAAAAGGUUGUAAGAGGAGUGUUUACCCUUCCAUUUCAAAAGACUUGCUAGUGGAAGGUGGGAGCCUCAUCGAAGAGGGGCCUCGCAAGUGGAGUAGGUCAUUUGACCGAACCACUCUAAAAAUCGGCGUAAUCUCUGGUUUGCUCUUUAUUAUUGUCAUUUACAUUACUGCAAAUCUUCUUACUGCUUUAG
rnacentral:lncRNA from 1 species